CAGUACAGAAAAUGCUAAUGCUAACUAUAAAACCAAGCACUAACAUUUCUGACAGGAUUUUAGACAGUUUAGUCUGACCUUUCACCUGCUCUUGUCCUCAAACUGACCAGCUGAAAAGAGAUGUGUUGAAUGGGUUCCAAAGCCGUAAUAAGGAAAACCGCCACUGAGAGAGAGAGAGAGAGAGAGAGAGAGAGAGAGAGAGAGAGAGAGAGAGAACGCUCUGAGGAGACCUGACUGAAAAGGGGGAGCAGAGGCAGGGGAGAGCCGAUCUGAGCCGUGGCCGGCAGGGAGCUGGCUCAGAGAGUGGGAAAAGCCUUCAU